rnacentral:pre_miRNA from 1 species
AUUACCCAGGGAUCUUAUUAAAAUGAAAAUUCUGAUUCAUGGGUCUGGGGAGGGCCUGAGAUUCUGCAUUUCUAAUAAGUUUUCAUGUGAUACUGA